UAUGCUUAAGUGUAUGAUGCACAAAAAAUUUUGAUUUUUUAAGUUAUGGUUUAAUUCCAUAAAGUAUAA
rnacentral:tRNA from 1 species